GCCUCGAGUGUUGCGUGACCGUCACAUUUCUGAAGAGCCUCCUGGAUCAAAGUGGUCGUCUGGUGUUCAAGUUGGGAUGUUCGAGUCAUUCGAAAGUGGUUCUUUGAGGGGGAGAGGGAAGAGACGAGGGUCGUUAAUCGUGAUGAACAACGAGCGAGUGUUCCGAACUCGUCCGAUGCGUUUUGCGUGCCAAUGAUCAUUAUUGGAGUUAUCGUUUCGUUUGAAGGAGGCGUUCCUUUUGCUUUUAACUCGUGUUUGUGCUGAGCUCGCUGUUUGAGAGGCAAGACUGCUCAAGCGUUG